UUUCUUCUAUUCUUCUCUCUAUACGUUGGUGUUCUAACCAAUAAUCACCAAAGCGAUGUUCUGUCCGAUUGAUUCAGGAACCAACUAACGGAUGCCAAAGUGUUGUACUUUGUGAAUUUCGAUAAACGGAAUCCAAAAUGUUAUACUUUGUGAGUUCGUUAAAUGGAUACCAAAGUACUAUACUUUGUGAGUUCGUUAAACGGAUGCCAAAGUACUAUACUUUGUGAAUUCUGUUAAGGUUCGAAUCUCGUGACUACCGUUAAGGUUUGAUUUGGGUUUUACACAAAUACGUAUUCUAUUCUGUUAAACUAUAUGUUUAACUACACGGAUACUCCCAACUACACACUUACAAUCAAACAAACUAUUACUUCAUCAGAAGAUACAGAACAAUGAAGUAUACGCUUAAUUAUCAAAAGGAAUAGUAUCCAGAAGCUUGUUAAAUCAAUACUGCAUGCUUAUAAUGGACUAAGUCGUGGAUAUCUUGCAUCACUGGUUAGUGGGGUGUUGUGCAUGUUACUAAUUUGCUCCCAGUUGGGUUCAUUGACCUACUAGGGAUAAUCACUCACUAUCUGGGUUCAUUGACCUAAUAGUGGUAUGACUAUCGUCACCAUUGUGACCUGUCACCAUUGUGACCUGUCACCAUUGUGACACAGUGCCAGAUAAAAAUAAGAUACUGCCAUUGUAAUCGCUCUUAUGCUGUAAUUUAUAACUAUGGGUCAUUUUAUAAAACCUGAAUGAACUCACUCAGUAUUUCCCGCUGACAAAACCUUUUUAAAACGCGUUUCAGGUAAUUACAGUAGAUUGGUGUAAGAAUUGGAUCCGGCACUGAAGGCAUCAAGAAGUGGCUUAUUUUAUUAAUUAAAUCAAAUUAAGAAAUAUCAUUUUUAUUAAAGCUACCUUUGUAAAACAUGGGUUUAUCCCAUCUAUUUAAUAAAUAAAAUCCGGUGUUUUAAAACUCUGAUAUUUUUCCUAACUCACGGUCCUGAUGAAAUUUCCGCUGCAAUGUUUUUCAAAAUAAUCACAGGUACCACUGGGCUGCUCGCGGCGCCCGAUUCCGUCCAGGAUAGGGUCGGGGGCCGUGACAGUAAAGGUGGUAUCAGAGCUAAGCCACUGCUUUAAGCCUAUAAGUGUUGUGAUAACAAUACUUAAGCUUAAAUAAAAGAGUUAGGAGAUUGCUAUUAACUGGUAGCACAUCUGAUAGCCUUUAGACUUGAACAUAAGAAAAGAUGCCUUAGUAUAAGCUAAGCCACUUGUUUAAGCAAUUAGGUGUUGUAAUAAUACCUAAGUUUAAACGGAGAAUUAGGAACUUAAUAGUAUCUGGUAGCACUCAGAAUAAUAUUUAGACUUGAACUUAAGAAUUUUGCCUUAAUAUAAGCUUCAAGAUAAAUUACCUAUAUAACUAUAAGGUGAUGAAUAUUGGUAUGAUUAUAAGAAUGACAAUUAGCAGGUAAUAGCACUUAAUUGCUAUUUAUUCUUGUUUAUCGAUAUUACCUGGUCUAGAAUAAAAUAUGAUAUGGAAAUACAAAUUUCCUUGAUUCUGGAUAAAAGCCCUAAAGAGGCACUGUUAAAAUCUUGAAAAGAUAUUAUUUAUGGGAAAUAGAAAAUUUUCUCCGGCAAAACUGGGUAUAGAGUAGCAGACUCUCCAGCUUGUCCGGAUAUACUGAGAUUACCGCUCCGCCGCGAACCGGAUAAGACGGGGUAUAUAGUAUGUCAAACAAGUGACAAGACUUCCCUAAAUAAUAUCAUAAUUUGAUAUCUGAUUUGUUUUUGGAAAUAUGAAUCUGUUAGAUACAUUGACCUGAUAAAUGGUAUGUUUAUUUCAGCAUAUGAAAUAUGUGAUUAUAUAGAUAGGAUAUCUAUAAGGAAAUUCCAAAAACCAUAACGAUUGGUAAUUAAGAAUAAAACACAAGCAUAUGUGUCAAUAAUAAUAAUUCUAGAUUUCUUUAUCAGAAAUCUCUCAUAUAUCUAUAAUUCCGAUGUCAAACAUUAUUUCGUUUGACCAUUUGUCUCAUGUGACAAAAUAAACAAUGGAAACCCUUUAAGUUGAAACAC
rnacentral:lncRNA from 1 species